GAGGCUUUAGCUUAAUUAAAGUAUCUGUUUUGCAUGCAGGAGAUGCGGGGGUAGAGUCCCGUAAGUCUUA
rnacentral:tRNA from 1 species